GAUGAACGCUGGCGGCGUGCCUAAUACAUGCAAGUCGAGCGAACAGACGAGGAGCUUGCUCCUCUGACGUUAGCGGCGGACGGGUGAGUAACACGUGGAUAACCUACCUAUAAGACUGGGAUAACUUCGGGAAACCGGAGCUAAUACCGGAUAAUAUAUUGAACCGCAUGGUUCAAUAGUGAAAGACGGUUUUGCUGUCACUUAUAGAUGGAUCCGCGCCGCAUUAGCUAGUUGGUAAGGUAACGGCUUACCAAGGCAACGAUGCGUAGCCGACCUGAGAGGGUGAUCGGCCACACUGGAACUGAGACACGGUCCAGACUCCUACGGGAGGCAGCAGUAGGGAAUCUGCCGCAAUGGGCGAAAGCCUGACGGAGCAACGCCGCGUGAGUGAUGAAGGUCUUCGGAUCGUAAAGCUCUGUUAUUAGGGAAGAACAAAUGUGUAAGUAACUAUGCACGUCUUGACGGUACCUAAUCAGAAAGCCACGGCUAACUACGUG
rnacentral:rRNA from 1 species